AGGAUUCGUCCAAGUGAAGCAGAGGACAGUGGCGGACGGGUGAGUAACGCGUGAGCAACCUGCCUAUCAGAGGGGGAUAACGAUUGGAAACGAUCGCUAAUACCGCAUGACAUAGCGGAACCGCAUGGUUUGUUAUCAAAGAUUUUAUCGCUGAUAGAUGGGCUCGCGUCCCAUUAGCUUGUUGGCGGGGUAACGGCCCACCAAGGCGACGAUGGGUAGCCGAUUUAAGAGGAUGAUCGGCCACAUUGGAACUGAAACACGGUCCAAACUCC
rnacentral:rRNA from 1 species